rnacentral:lncRNA from 1 species
GUUCUGCGAACUGAGCGUUCGCUUCGACCCUUCCCGGGACGUGGGACCUUGGCUUUCGGAGCGGGCGGAGGCGGCUGAGCGGCCGGGACGAGACGGCAGCGCAGAUGCUUGGGGAAAUCAUUUGGAAACGCUGCUUAUGAUAAAUGUGGAAAGAAAUGGAAAUGUUCUUUAUACUUGGAAGGACCCUCAGGAAUGCACAAAUGUUGGAUUGUAUGAUGAUGAUAAUAAGAAAAACCAGGU